CAUUAAGAAGCUAUGAACCAGCAUUAGCCUUUUAAGCUAAAGAAAGAGGGCCCUCCCCUCCUUAAUGA
rnacentral:tRNA from 1 species